rnacentral:rRNA from 1 species
ACGGGUGAGUAACGCGUGGGAACGUACCUUUUGGUUCGGAACAACUGAGGGAAACUUCAGCUAAUACCGGAUAAGCCCUUACGGGGAAAGAUUUAUCGCCGAAAGAUCGGCCCGCGUCUGAUUAGCUAGUUGGUGAGGUAAUGGCUCACCAAGGCGACGAUCAGUAGCUGGUCUGAGAGGAUGAUCAGCCACAUUGGGACUGAGACACGGCCCAAACUCCUACGGGAGGCAGCAGUGGGGAAUAUUGGACAAUGGGCGAAAGCCUGAUCCAGCCAUGCCGCGUGAGUGAUGAAGGCCCUAGGGUUGUAAAGCUCUUUUGUGCGGGAAGAUAAUGACGGUACCGCAAGAAUAAGCCCCGGCUAACUUCGUGCCAGCAGCCGCGGUAAUACGAAGGGGGCUAGCGUUGCUCGGAAUCACUGGGCGUAAAGGGUGCGUAGGCGGCGAGGUAAGUCUGAUGUGAAAUCCCGGGGCUCAACCCCGGAACUGCAUUGGAUACUGCCUUGCUUGAGUACUGGAGAGGGAACUGGAAUUUACGGUGUAGCAGUGAAAUGCGUAGA